GACGUAGGGCGCGAGCGUUGUCCGGAUUUAUUGGGCGUAAAGGGCGCGUAGGCGGCCUUCUAAGUCGAACGUGAAAUCCCCGGGCUCAACCCGGGAACUGCGCCCGAUACUGGAAGGCUUGAAUCCGGGAGAGGGAUGCGGAAUUCCAGGUGUAGCGGUGAAAUGCGUAGAUAUCUGGAGGAACACCGGUGGCGAAGGCGGCAUCCUGGACCGGUAUUGACGCUGAGGCGCGAAAGCCAGGGGAGCAAACGGG
rnacentral:rRNA from 1 species